rnacentral:tRNA from 1 species
AUUACUUUGGCAGAAAAGUGUUAUAGAUUUAGGAUCUAUAUAUGCAAGUCUAAUCUUGCAGGUAAUA